UUAAGCGACUAAGCGUACACGGUGGAUGCCCUGGCAGUCAGAGGCGAUGAAGGACGUGCUAAUCUGCGAUAAGCGUCGGUAAGGUGAUAUGAACCGUUAUAACCGGCGAUUUCCGAAUGGGGAAACCCAGUGUGUUUCGACACACUAUCAUUAACUGAAUCCAUAGGUUAAUGAGGCGAACCGGGGGAACUGAAACAUCUAAGUACCCCGAGGAAAAGAAAUCAACCGAGAUUCCCCCAGUAGCGGCGAGCGAACGGGGAGCAGCCCAGAGCCUGAAUCAGUGUGUGUGUUAGUGGAAGCGUCUGGAAAGGCGCGCGAUACAGGGUGACAGCCCCGUACACAAAAAUGCACAUGCUGUGAGCUCGAUGAGUAGGGCGGGACACGUGGUAUCCUGUCUGAAUAUGGGGGGACCAUCCUCCAAGGCUAAAUACUCCUGACUGACCGAUAGUGAACCAGUACCGUGAGGGAAAGGCGAAAAGAACCCCGGCGAGGGGAGUGAAAAAGAACCUGAAACCGUGUACGUACAAGCAGUGGGAGCACGCUUAGGCGUGUGACUGCGUACCUUUUGUAUAAUGGGUCAGCGACUUAUAUUCUGUAGCAAGGUUAACCGAAUAGGGGAGCCGAAGGGAAACCGAGUCUUAACUGGGCGUUAAGUUGCAGGGUAUAGACCCGAAACCCGGUGAUCUAGCCAUGGGCAGGUUGAAGGUUGGGUAACACUAACUGGAGGACCGAACCGACUAAUGUUGAAAAAUUAGCGGAUGACUUGUGGCUGGGGGUGAAAGGCCAAUCAAACCGGGAGAUAGCUGGUUCUCCCCGAAAGCUAUUUAGGUAGCGCCUCGUGAAUUCAUCUCCGGGGGUAGAGCACUGUUUCGGCAAGGGGGUCAUCCCGACUUACCAACCCGAUGCAAACUGCGAAUACCGGAGAAUGUUAUCACGGGAGACACACGGCGGGUGCUAACGUCCGUCGUGAAGAGGGAAACAACCCAGACCGCCAGCUAAGGUCCCAAAGUCAUGGUUAAGUGGGAAACGAUGUGGGAAGGCCCAGACAGCCAGGAUGUUGGCUUAGAAGCAGCCAUCAUUUAAAGAAAGCGUAAUAGCUCACUGGUCGAGUCGGCCUGCGCGGAAGAUGUAACGGGGCUAAACCAUGCACCGAAGCUGCGGCAGCGACGCUUAUGCGUUGUUGGGUAGGGGAGCGUUCUGUAAGCCUGUGAAGGUGUGCUGUGAGGCAUGCUGGAGGUAUCAGAAGUGCGAAUGCUGACAUAAGUAACGAUAAAGCGGGUGAAAAGCCCGCUCGCCGGAAGACCAAGGGUUCCUGUCCAACGUUAAUCGGGGCAGGGUGAGUCGACCCCUAAGGCGAGGCCGAAAGGCGUAGUCGAUGGGAAACAGGUUAAUAUUCCUGUACUUGGUGUUACUGCGAAGGGGGGACGGAGAAGGCUAUGUUGACCGGGCGACGGUUGUCCCGGUUUAAGCGUGUAGGCUGGUUUUCCAGGCAAAUCCGGAAAAUCAAGGCUGAGGCGUGAUGACGAGGCACUACGGUGCUGAAGCAACAAAUGCCCUGCUUCCAGGAAAAGCCUCUAAGCAUCAGGUAACAUCAAAUCGUACCCCAAACCGACACAGGUGGUCAGGUAGAGAAUACCAAGGCGCUUGAGAGAACUCGGGUGAAGGAACUAGGCAAAAUGGUGCCGUAACUUCGGGAGAAGGCACGCUGAUAUGUAGGUGAGGUCCCUCGCGGAUGGAGCUGAAAUCAGUCGAAGAUACCAGCUGGCUGCAACUGUUUAUUAAAAACACAGCACUGUGCAAACACGAAAGUGGACGUAUACGGUGUGACGCCUGCCCGGUGCCGGAAGGUUAAUUGAUGGGGUCAGCGCAAGCGAAGCUCUUGAUCGAAGCCCCGGUAAACGGCGGCCGUAACUAUAACGGUCCUAAGGUAGCGAAAUUCCUUGUCGGGUAAGUUCCGACCUGCACGAAUGGCGUAAUGAUGGCCAGGCUGUCUCCACCCGAGACUCAGUGAAAUUGAACUCGCUGUGAAGAUGCAGUGUACCCGCGGCAAGACGGAAAGACCCCGUGAACCUUUACUAUAGCUUGACACUGAACAUUGAGCCUUGAUGUGUAGGAUAGGUGGGAGGCUUAGAAGUGUGGACGCCAGUCUGCAUGGAGCCGACCUUGAAAUACCACCCUUUAAUGUUUGAUGUUCUAACGUUGACCCGUAAUCCGGGUUGCGGACAGUGUCUGGUGGGUAGUUUGACUGGGGCGGUCUCCUCCUAAAGAGUAACGGAGGAGCACGAAGGUUGGCUAAUCCUGGUCGGACAUCAGGAGGUUAGUGCAAUGGCAUAAGCCAGCUUGACUGCGAGCGUGACGGCGCGAGCAGGUGCGAAAGCAGGUCAUAGUGAUCCGGUGGUUCUGAAUGGAAGGGCCAUCGCUCAACGGAUAAAAGGUACUCCGGGGAUAACAGGCUGAUACCGCCCAAGAGUUCAUAUCGACGGCGGUGUUUGGCACCUCGAUGUCGGCUCAUCACAUCCUGGGGCUGAAGUAGGUCCCAAGGGUAUGGCUGUUCGCCAUUUAAAGUGGUACGCGAGCUGGGUUUAGAACGUCGUGAGACAGUUCGGUCCCUAUCUGCCGUGGGCGCUGGAGAACUGAGGGGGGCUGCUCCUAGUACGAGAGGACCGGAGUGGACGCAUCACUGGUGUUCGGGUUGUCAUGCCAAUGGCACUGCCCGGUAGCUAAAUGCGGAAGAGAUAAGUGCUGAAAGCAUCUAAGCACGAAACUUGCCCCGAGAUGAGUUCUCCCUGACUCCUUGAGAGUCCUGAAGGAACGUUGAAGACGACGACGUUGAUAGGCCGGGUGUGUAAGCGCAGCGAUGCGUUGAGCUAACCGGUACUAAUGAACCGUGAGGCUUAACCUU
rnacentral:rRNA from 1 species